GGGAGUGUGGCUCAGCAGCAGAGCACUCACCUAGCAUGUGUGAGGCCCUGGGUUUGAUCCUCAGCACCA
rnacentral:tRNA from 1 species